UGGGGAAUAUUGCGCAAUGGUCGAAAGACUGACGCAGCGACGCCGCGUGUGGGAUGAAGCCUUUCGGGGUGUAAACCACUGUCAGGGGGGAAGAACAUCGUGAUUGGGAAUAUCCUUCACGACUGACGGUACCCCCAGAGGAAGCGCCGGCUAACUCCGUGCCAGCAGCCGCGGUAAGACGGAGGGCGCAAGCGUUGUUCGGAAUUACUGGGCGUAAAGCGCACGCAGGCGGUCUCUUAAGUCCACUGUGAAACUCCGGGGCUCAACUCCGGACAUGCAGCGGAUACUGGGAGACUAGAGAUCGGUAGAGGCUAGUGGAAUUCCUGGUGUAGCGGUGGAAUGCGUAGAUAUCAGGAAGAACACCGGUGGCGAAGGCGGCUAGCUGGGCCGAAUCUGACGCUCAUGUGCGAAAGCGUGGGGAGCAAACAGGAUUAGAUACCCCCGUAGUCC
rnacentral:rRNA from 1 species